rnacentral:rRNA from 1 species
AUUGAACGCUGGCGGCAGGCCUAACACAUGCAAGUCGAGCGGAUCGGCGGACGGGUGAGUAUUGCCUAUGAAUCUGCAAGGUAGUGGGGGAUAACGUCCAGAAACGGGAGCUAAUACCGCAUACUAUCAGAUGAUACUGGGUCGGAUUAGCUUGUUGGUGUGGUAAAGGCCUACCAAGGCGACGAUCCGUAACUGGUCUGAGAGGAUGAUCAGGCACACUGGAACUGAGACACGGUCCAGACUCCUACGGGAGGCAGCAGUGGGGAAUAUUGGACAAUGGGCGAAAGCCUGAUCCAGCCAUGCCGCGUGUGUGAAGAAGGUCUUCGGAUUGUAAAGCACUUGAAGUUGGGAGGCGUUACCAACAGAAUAAGCACCGGCUAACUUCGUGCCAGCAGCCGCGGUAAUAC